UGGGGAAUAUUGCACAAUGGAGGGAACUCUGAUGCAGCGACGCCGCGUGAUUUAGAAGGCCUUCGGGUUGUAAAAAUCUUUUCUAUGGGAAGAAAAUGACAGUACCAUAGGAAUAAGGACCGGCUAAUUACGUGCCAGCAGCCGCGGUAAUACGUAAGGUCCGAGCGUUGUCCGGAAUCAUUGGGCGUAAAGGGUACGUAGGCGGGUAAGCAAGUUAGAAGUGAAAUCCUAUAGCUCAACUAUAGUAAGCUUUUAAAACUGCUCAUCUUGAGGUAUGGAAGGGAAAGUGGAAUUCCUAGUGUAGCGGUGAAAUGCGCAGAUAUUAGGAGGAAUACCGGUGGCGAAGGCGACUUUCUGGCCAUAACCUGACGCUGAGGUACGAAAGCGUGGGUAGCAAACAGG
rnacentral:rRNA from 1 species